rnacentral:rRNA from 1 species
AUGCAAGUCGAACGGCAGCACGGGGGUAACCCUGGUGGCGAGUGGCGAACGGGUGAGUAAUGUGUCGGAACAUGUCCGGAAGAGGGGGAUAACGUAGCGAAAGUUACGCUAAUACCGCAUAUGCCCUAAGGGGGAAAGGUGGGGAUCGCAAGACCUGCCGCUUUCGGAGUGGCCGACAUCGGAUUAGCUAGUAGGUGAGGUAAAGGCUCACCUAGGCGACGAUCCGUAGCUGGUCUGAGAGGACGACCAGCCACACUGGAACUGAGACACGGUCCAGACUCC